UAGUGUGUGUGCAUGUAGUGAGCUUGGUUUGAGUGGUGGCUAGGAUCUUUCCUUGUUGAGCAAGAAGAAUCAAGUGACCAAGAAUUAAUCUCACAAGAUAUUUAUGAUCAUGAAUAGGAAAUCACAAUUUCAUUCAUUCAUUUUUCUUUCCAAAACCGUGAGCCUCCUUUGCUUACUCCUAACCAUCACCAAUUUUUCAUUCCUUAGCCAAAUUCAAUUAUUAGAAGCUUGUUGGAACCAUGAGGGUUCAUAGAUCAUCAUCCCUAAGCUAGGGCAAGCAAGAGAGCAAAGCAAGAGGGUGCUAGGACUUGAGAAAGGGAGGAACUCAUGAGAGCUAGAUCAUGAGGAGCUUGAGGAUUCAUCAAAUUUCUAAGAUAUCCAGAUUGACAGGUUAUAUGUUAGCUUGUCCGAGUAGCGUGGUGAAGCUCCGCUCUGAUUGUGACACGGGGA